AUUGAACGCUGGCGGCAGGCCUAACACAUGCAAGUCGAACGAGUGGCGGACGGGUGAGUAAUGUCUGGGAAACUGCCUGAUGGAGGGGGAUAACUCCUGGAAACGGUAGCUAAUACCGCAUACCAUCAGAUUUGCCCAGAUGUGUUUAGCUUGUUUGUGGGGUAACGGCUCACCAAGGCGACGAUCCCUAGCUUGUCUGAGAGGAUAACCGUCCAAACUGGAACUGAAAAACGGUCCAGACUCCUACGGGAGGCAGCAGUGGGGAAUAUUGCACAAUGGGCGCAAGCCUGAUGCAGCCAUGCCGCGUGUAUGAAGAAGGCCUUCGGGUUGUAAAGUACUUUCAGCGGGGAGGCGGUAAACGAAGAAGAAGCACCGGCUAACUCCGUGCCAGCAGCCGCGGUAAUAG
rnacentral:rRNA from 1 species